GACGAACGCUGGCGGCGUGCUUAACACAUGCAAGUCGAACGGAAAGGCCCUGCUUUUGUGGGUGGCUCGAGUGGCAAACGGGUGAGUAACACGUGAGUAACCUGCCCUGGACUUUGGGAUAACUUCAGGAAACUGGGGCUAAUACCGGAUAGGAGCUCCUGCUGCAUGGUGGGGGUUGGAAAGUUUCGGCGGUUGGGGAUGGACUCGCGGCUUAUCAGCUUGUUGGUGGGGUAGUGGCUUACCAAGGCUUUGACGGGUAGCCGGCCUGAGAGGGUGACCGGCCACAUUGGGACUGAGAUACGGCCCAGACUCCUACGGGAGGCAGCAGUGGGGAAUAUUGCACAAUGGGCGGAAGCCUGAUGCAGCAACGCCGCGUGCGGGAUGACGGCCUUCGGGUUGUAAACCGCUUUCGCCUGUGACGAAGCGUGAGUGACGGUAAUGGGUAAAGAAGCACCGGCUAACUACGUG
rnacentral:rRNA from 1 species